rnacentral:rRNA from 1 species
ACCUGCCCUGAACUCUGGGAUACGCGCUGGAGACGGCGUCUAAUACAUGGAUACGACCUAUCACCUGCAUGGUGUGUAGAGUGGAAAGAUUUAUCGGUUCUGGAUGGACUCCCUGGCCUAUCAGCUUGUUGGUGAUGUAAUGGCUCACCAAGGACACGACGGCUAGCCGGCCUGAGAGGGUGACCGGCCACACUGGAACUGAGACACGGACCACACUCCUACGGGAGGCAGCAGAGUAUAAUAUUGCACAAUGGGCGCUAGCCUGAUGCAGCAACGCCACGUGAGGGAUGACUGCCUUCGGGUUGCAAACCUCUUUUAGUAGGGAAGAAGCGAAAGUGACCGUACCUGCAAAAAAAGCACCGGUUAACUACGUGCCACCAGCCGCGGUAAUACGUACGGUGCAAGCGUUGUCCUGAAUUAUUGGGCGAAAACAGCUCGUAGGCGGCUUGUCGCGUCUGCUGUGAAAUCCCUGAGCUCAACCCCUGGCCUGCAUUGGGUACGGCCAAACUACAGUGCGGUAGGGUAGAUUGCAAUUCCUGGCGUAGCGGUGCAAU